AUCACAAAGGACACUCUAAUAAAAGAGGAAGACAUAUGGGAAACUAGCAAUGCCCAUGAUUAACUAGAACUAAUGGGGAAACAAGCCCAGAUACCCAUGGGACACAUCACCUGAAGCCAGCCCGAAAACUCCAAGGUGUUUUCAACCUAUUAGUACUGGAAUGGGUGAGCAAUAAAAUCACUAAUGAAUCUCAAAAAAGGGCCUAAGGCACGAGACUAUAGUGGAAGACAUGUACAACACAGAUGAACUACCUUUGGCAUGUGUAAUGCACAUGGAAGUCCACCUGCACAUGCGAGAACCUUAUCCGUGUGAGGCAGCACACAAAGUGUGUAGAAACUGUAGCUCGCUUGCGUAACAUGCGCCGCGUGCACAUAGGACACGCGCAGCCUCUGCUUAGCACCACGCACGCGAGCAAGCCAUGGGUAGCACGCCCAGCAACCU
rnacentral:lncRNA from 1 species